rnacentral:misc_RNA from 1 species
UACGUAGGUGGCAAGCGUUAUCCGGAAUUACUGGGCGUAAAGCGCACGCAGGCGGCUCUUCAAGUUCGACGUGAAAGCUCCCGGCUUAACUGGGAGAGGUCGUUGAAAACUGGGGGGCUUGAGGCAAUGAGAGGGGUGUAGAAUUCCCGGUGUAGUGGUGGAAUGCGUAGAUAUCGGGAGGAAUACCAGUGGCGAAAGCGGCACCCUAGCGUUGACCUGACGCUCAUGUGCGAAAGCGUGGGGAGCGAACGGG